AGCGAAGCGGAGAUCAAAUCGACAUAUAGAUAUGAAAUUUCAAUAUCUCGAUUUGACCUAAAAGAGGCUAAUAUGUAGAAAAUAGGUUUUAGAUGAAAUCCGAGCCUCUAGGGUUUAUCAAACAUGUAUUUUCGUGAUGCUUAAUCUGUUAGAGAACCCCAAUAUCUUAUUUAUAGACUUUAGAAUCAAUUGGAGUCGGAUUAGAAAGUUUUCACGAUUUUACACUGUGUACCGGUACACGAAAGGCUGUCACCGGUUACAUAAUGACGGAACAAAUUUG
rnacentral:lncRNA from 1 species